rnacentral:lncRNA from 1 species
CGAAAACACUGUGAUUUCGCCGGUGAUUUCAAGCGUAAAAUGUUCAGGGUGCAUGGAGUCAUGACCAGUGCCUCCUCAAGUUCAUCGUCAUCAACAUAUUCUGUGUGUGGCGGUUCUGUCGUUCUGUGGUGUGAUGGUCGACGUUUAGACUGUUCUGCUGCCAAUGGUUGGCUUUCCCGUUCUGACCACCCUAGGCCAAUGUGCGCGCAGCAAGUGCCGUAGUUACUGCCGCUGAACUGUCGUGUUGUGAUGCUUCCCCGUUCAUCGUGCGAACGCAACGCGCUGUCACCAACGGAAUGCGCUUGCAUGACUCCGACCGGCGACUCGUACGGCAUCAGCAUCUUUGGUGUCGGACUGGUCCGGAGAGCCGAAGGCAGCUGUUCCAGCCUUGGGUGAUGCAGGUGCCGGAAGAACAUGCUAUAUGGCACUGCAUCUGUAAUACUGACAGAACAUGGACACCAGCAAGAGCCCUCCAGACGUUUUCGAAAAGAUGAUGUACUACGCGCUUUUAUGCACCAUUUUUCACUUGUAAAUAUAUUUGGCAUGUGCCAAAGCUCUAUGUGGCAUUGUCAGAGCUAGUAGCUGUCCUUGAAAUUGUUGCACGCUUUUGUGUAGUUGGACAAACUUUGCUAAAAGGGCCGCUCACCAGGUUUGGGCAAUGCAGGCGAUUGUGUCUGUAAACUAUGGAAUGGCCAUGUGGGAU